UUUCGCAAUGCCCGAAAGGGUGACGAAACGACGCCGCGUGAGCGAAGAAGGCCCUAGGGUUGUAAAGCUCUGUCAGGGGUUAUGAAAUGUAGAUGAGAUAAUACCUCAUUUAUUUGACAAAGGCCCCAAAGGAAGCCACGGCUAACUCUGUGCCAGCAGCCGCGGUAAUACAGAGGUGGCGAGCGUUGUUCGGUAUUAUUGGGCGUAAAGAGCACGUAGGUGGUUUUGUAAGCCAGGUGUGAAAGCCUUCUAUUCAAAGGAAGAACGGCAUCUGAAACUGCAGAUCUUGAGUGUAGGAGGGGAGAGUGGAACUUCUGGUGGAGCGGUGAAAUGCGUAGAUAUCAGAAGGAACGUCGGCGGCGAAAGCGACUCUCUGGCCUAUUACUGACACUGAGUGUGCGAAAGUUAGGGGAGCAAACGGGAUUAGAUACCCCGGUAGUCCUAACCGUAAACGAUGGGCACUAAGUAGAGGGGUUUU
rnacentral:rRNA from 1 species